rnacentral:misc_RNA from 1 species
GCGGAGAGGACGAACUCCUACUCCUGGAAGGUAUCUGGGGCUGAGAACUAUUCGUGUGCGACGCAGGACACCCAGUUAUUCUCCUCGUCGAUCUCCCAGCUACUCUCCAUAUUGGAGGAGCCAUAGUCGGUCACCUUAUUAUUCAUCUGACUGCAGUAGGAGCAGGUCAUAUUCUCCUCGCUACAGUCGCCACCGAUCCUACUCUCCUUAUUACUCUCGGCGCAGGUCAUAUUCACCCCACUAUAGCCGGCGCCGAUCAUACUCCAGAUCUCCUUACAGGAGGUCCCAUGUAAGUAGGUGUGAUCGGUCAUUCUCACCUUAUGAUUCUAGAUAUUACUCACCAGAUGACAGA